rnacentral:tRNA from 1 species
GCCGUGGUGGUGCAGUGGUCAGCACACCCGAUCCGGUAUCCUACGUUCUCUGAGUUCGCUCAUUUACCUAACACUCACACUCUCUCACGGGUCGGGACAUCGUUGGUUCGAAUCCAACUCAAGGUG